rnacentral:rRNA from 1 species
UACAGAGGCCUCGAGCGUUGUUCGGAAUUACUGGGCGUAAAGGGAAUGUAGGUGGUGGCGUAAGUCAGAUGUGAAAGCCCCGGGCUCAACCUGGGAAUUGCAUUCGAGACUGCUCUGCUAGGGUGCGGAAGAGGGAAGCGGAAUUUCCGGUGUAGCGGUGAGAUGCGUAGAUAUCGGAAGGAACACCAGUGGCGAAAGCGGCUUCCUGGUCCAGCACCGACGUUCAGGCACGAAAGCGUGGGGAGCAAACAGG